CACAGGGACAGCGCCCCGGGGGAUGGAAGGAACUUUGCCUCCCUGUCCCUCUCUGUAGGGAUGGAAAGAGGAGAGCGAUUUCUGGGAUGGAAGCCAUCUGCCUUCUCUCAACUCUCGCUGCCCAACCAGAAAGGGAAGAAAAACAGGAAGAUGAGGGACAGGUGGUGGGAAAACUGAGGCUGCUCAAAACUCGUGGAGAAUUCCGCCUGCAGGAUGACAUGAAUGCACCUUCGCAUUGCCUACCAACAGAUCUUUUUUGAGCAUCUCUGUGGACCAGGCGUGGUGAUGGGGGAGGGGAUAUUGUGGUGAACA
rnacentral:lncRNA from 1 species